UUGGGAGGGGGCUUGCUCCCGAUAGCGGCGGGUCAGUCAGCAUUUCUGAUACUGAACCACCGCUAUCGGGAGCAAGCCCCCUCCCAC
rnacentral:antisense_RNA from 2 species